AGAGCGAACGCUGGCGGCAGGCUUAACACAUGCAAGUCGAGCGGGCGUAGCAAUACGUCAGCGGCAGACGGGUGAGUAACGCGUGGGAACAUACCUUUUGGUUCGGAACAACACAGGGAAACUUGUGCUAAUACCGAAUAAGCCCUUACGGGGAAAGAUUUAUCGCCGAAAGAUUGGCCCGCGUCUGAUUAGCUAGUUGGUGAGGUAACGGCUCACCAAGGCGACGAUCAGUAGCUGGUCUGAGAGGAUGAUCAGCCACACUGGGACUGAGACACGGCCCAGACUCCUACGGGAGGCAGCAGUGGGGAAUAUUGCGCAAUGGGCGAAAGCCUGACGCAGCGACGCCGCGUGGGGGAUGGAAGGCCUUCGGGUUGUAAACCCCUUUCAGCAGGGACGAAGCGAAAGUGACGGUACCUGCAGAAGAAGCGCCGGCUAACUACGUGCCAGCAGCCGC
rnacentral:rRNA from 1 species